rnacentral:rRNA from 1 species
GACGAACGCUGGCGGCGUGCUUAACACAUGCAAGUCGUACGGUAAGGCCCUUUCGGGGGUACACGAGUGGCGAACGGGUGAGUAACACGUGAGUAACCUGCCCACAACUUUGGGAUAACGCUAGGAAACUGGUGCUAAUACUGGAUAUGUGCUCCUGCUGCAUGGUGGGGGUUGGAAAGCUCCGGCGGUUGUGGAUGGACUCGCGGCCUAUCAGCUUGUUGGUGGGGUAGUGGCCUACCAAGGCGGCGACGGGUAGCCGGCCUGAGAGGGUGACCGGCCACAUGGGGACUGAGAUACGGCCCAGACUCCUACGGGAGGCAGCAGUGGGGAAUAUUGCACAAUGGGCGCAAGCAUGAUGCAGCAACGCCGCGUGCGGGAUGACGGCCUUCGGGUUGUAAACCGCUUUCAGCAGGGACGAAGCUUUUUGUGACGGUACCUGCAGAAGAAGCACCGGCUAACUACG